rnacentral:rRNA from 1 species
AUACGUAGGGUGCAAGCGUUAAUCGGAAUUACUGGGCGUAAAGCGUGCGCAGGCGGUUUUGUAAGACAGAGGUGCAAUCCCCGGGCUCAACCUGGGAACUGCCUUUGUGACUGCAAGGCUAGAGUACGGCAGAGGGGGGAGGAAUUCCGCGUGUAGCAAUGAAAUGCGUAGAUAUGCGGAGGAACACCGAUGGCGAAGGCAAUCCCCUGGGCCUGUACUGACGCUCAUGCACGAAAGCGUGGGGAGCAAACAGGAUUAGAUACCCUGGUAGUCCACGCCCUAAACGAUGUCAACUGGUUGUUGGGUCUUCAUUGACUCAGUAACGAAGCUAACGCGUGAAGUUGACCGCCUGGGGAGUACGGCCGCAAGGUUGAAACUCAAAUGAAUUGGCGGGG